rnacentral:rRNA from 1 species
UACGAAGGGGGCUAGCGUUGCUCGGAAUCACUGGGCGUAAAGGGCGCGUAGGCGGCCAUUCAAGUCGGGGGUGAAAGCCUGUGGCUCAACCACAGAAUUGCCUUCGAUACUGUUUGGCUUGAGUAUGGUAGAGGUUGGUGGAACUGCGAGUGUAGAGGUGAAAUUCGUAGAUAUUCGCAAGAACACCAGUGGCGAAGGCGGCUCACUGGCCCGAUACUGACGCUGAGGUGCGAAAGCGUGGGGAGCAACAGG